AUUGAACGCUGGCGGCAGGCCUAACACAUGCAAGUCGAGCGGAUGAAGGGAGCUUGCUCCUGGAUUCAGCGGCGGACGGGUGAGUAAUGCCUAGGAAUCUGCCUGGUAGUGGGGGAUAACGUCCGGAAACGGGCGCUAAUACCGCAUACGUCCUGCGGGAGAAAGUGGGGGAUCUUCGGACCUCACGCUAUCAGAUGAGCCUAGGUCGGAUUAGCUAGUUGGUGGGGUAAAGGCCUACCAAGGCGACGAUCCGUAACUGGUCUGAGAGGAUGAUCAGUCACACUGGAACUGAGACACGGUCCAGACUCCUACGGGAGGCAGCAGUGGGGAAUAGUGGACAGUGGGCGAAAGCCUUAUCCAGCCAUGCCGCGUGUGUGAAGAAGGUCUUCGGAUUGUAAAGCACUUUAAGUUGGGAGGAAGGGCAGUAAGUUAAUACCUUGCUGUUUUGACGGUACCAACAGAAUAAGCACCGGCUAACUUCGUG
rnacentral:rRNA from 1 species